CAGUAGCCGCGGUAAUACGUAGGUGGCAAGCGUUGUCCGGAAUUAUUGGGCGUAAAGGGCUCGCAGGCGGUUUCUUAAGUCUGAUGUGAAAGCCCCCGGCUCAACCGGGGAGGGUCAUUGGAAACUGGGAAACUUGGGUGCAGAAGAGGAGAGUGGAAUUCCACGUGUAGCGGUGAAAUGCGUAGAGAUGUGGAGGAACACCAGUGGCGAAGGCGACUCUCUGGUCUGUAACUGACGCUGAGGAGCGAAAGCGUGGGGAGCGAACAGGAUUAGAUACCCCUGUAGUCCCUGUCUCUUAUAC
rnacentral:rRNA from 1 species